rnacentral:rRNA from 1 species
AGAGUUUGAUUAUGGCUCAGGAUGAACGCUAGCUACAGGCUUAACACAUGCAAGUCGAGGGGCAGCAUUGGGAUAGCUUGCUAUUCAGAUGGCGACCGGCGCACGGGUGAGUAACGCGUAUCCAACCUUCCUGCCAGUAGGGAACAGCCCGGCGAAAGUCGGAUUAAUGCCCUAUGUUCUUCAAUGCGGACAUCUAAGUUGAAGGAAAGAUUCAUCGCUGGCAGAUGGGGAUGCGUCCGAUUAGCUUGCCGGCGGGGUAACGGCCCACCGGGGCGACGAUCGGUAGGGGUUCUGAGAGGAAGGUCCCCCACACUGGCACUGAGACACGGGCCAGACUCCUACGGGAGGCAGCAGUGAGGAAUAUUGGUCAAUGGGCGAAAGCCUGAACCAGCCAAGUAGCCGUGCAGGAUGACGGCCCUACGGGUUGUAAACUGCUUUUGCGGGAGGAUAAAGGACACUACGUGUAGUGUUUUGCAGGUAUCCCGUGAAUAAGGACCGGCUAAUUCCGUGCCAGCCGCCGC